AGCAGCCGCGGGAAUACGAAGGGGGCUAGCGUUGUUCGGAAUUACUGGGCGUAAAGCGCACGCAGGCGGUCUGACAAGUCAGAUGUGAAAUCCCCGGGCUUAACCUGGGAACUGCAUUUGAAACUGUCAGGCUGGAGUCUUGUAGAGGGGGGUGGAAUUCCAGGUGUAGCGGUGAAAUGCGUAGAGAUCUGGAGGAAUACCGGUGGCGAAGGCGGCCCCCUGGACAAAGACUGACGCUCAGGUGCGAAAGCGUGGGGAGCAAACAGGAUUAGAUACCCCUGUAGUCCCUGUCUCUUAUACA
rnacentral:rRNA from 1 species